AUUGAACGCUGGCGGCAGGCCUAACACAUGCAAGUCGAGCGGAGCGGCGGACGGGUGAGGAAUGCCCAGGAAUCUGCCUGGUAGUGGGGGAUAACGUCCGGAAACGGGCGCUAAUACCGCAUACUAUCAGAUGAGGCUAGGCCGGAUUAGCUAGUUGGUGGGGUAAAGGCCUACCAAGGCGACGAUCCGUAACUGGUCUGAGAGGAUGAUCAGUCACACUGGAACUGAGACACGGUCCAGACUCCUACGGGGGGCAGCAGUGGGGACUAUUGGACGAUGGACGAAAGCCUGAUCCAGCCAUGCCGCGUGUGUGAAGAAGGUCUUCGGGUUGUAAGGCACUUUGAGUUGGAAGACGUUACCAGCAGAAAAAGCACCGGCUAACUUCGUGCCAGCCGCCGCGGUAAUAC
rnacentral:rRNA from 1 species